GAUGAACGCUAGCUACAGGCUUAACACAUGCAAGUCGAGGGGUAACGAGAGGGAAGCUUGCUUUCCUUGUCGACGACCGGCGCACGGGUGUGUAACGCGUAUCCAACCUGCCCCCAACUAAGGAAUAACCUUGCGAAAGUAAGACUAAUACCCUAUAAUUUCCUCAGAUGACAUCUGACGAGGAAUAAAGAUUUAUCGGUUGUGGAUGGGGAUGCGUCUGAUUAGCUUGUUGGCGGGGUAACGGCCCACCAAGGCAACGAUCAGUAGGGGUUCUGAGAGGAAGGUCCCCCACAUUGGAACUGAGACACGGUCCAAACUCCUACGGGAGGCAGCAGUGAGGAAUAUUGGUCAAUGGGCGGAAGCCUGAACCAGCCAAGUAGCGUGCAGGAUGACGGCCCUAUGGGUUGUAAACUGCUUUUAUACAGGAAUAAAGUUAGCCACGUGUGGUUAUUUGUAGGUACUGUAUGAAUAAGGACCGGCUAAUUCCGUGCCAGCAGCCGCAGUAA
rnacentral:rRNA from 1 species